CUGUGCGGACCAGGUAUGGGAGAGAGGUUAGAAAGCCGAAGAGACUUGAUUGGUGAUUUAUUGAUUUGUUUUCUACGGUAAAGAAAAAGAGAGUGAAAUGUGAUGUGAAAUUGUUCUGCUAAACCUGUUACAUUUACCUGAAACCUGAGACAAUAGUUCACAGUAUGGUAACGUGUAAGUUAUUUUAUUGCUAUUUUGCAAGCUUGAAACAGGGACAGAUCAGGGACAGGUCUUCCAGCAAAAGGGCAGAAUAAACCCCUUAAGACCUGCAGAGACAAAGGUAGUCCACCCUUUGUUCUCAAAGAAAGGGAGAUGUGGUAUUAUG